GAUGAACGCUGGCGGCGUGCCUAAUACAUGCAAGUCGAGCGAACGGACGAGAAGCUUGCUUCUCUGAUGUUAGCGGCGGACGGGUGAGUAACACGUGGAUAACCUACCUAUAAGACUGGGAUAACUUCGGGAAACCGGAGCUAAUACCGGAUAAUAUUUUGAACCGCAUGGUUCAAAAGUGAAAGACGGUCUUGCUGUCACUUAUAGAUGGAUCCGCGCUGCAUUAGCUAGUUGGUAAGGUAACGGCUUACCAAGGCAACGAUGCAUAGCCGACCUGAGAGGGUGAUCGGCCACACUGGAACUGAGACACGGUCCAGACUCCUACGGGAGGCAGCAGUAGGGAAUCUUCCGCAAUGGGCGAAAGCCUGACGGAGCAACGCCGCGUGAGUGAUGAAGGUCUUCGGAUCGUAAAACUCUGUUAUUAGGGAAGAACAUAUGUGUAAGUAACUGUGCACAUCUUGACGGUACCUAAUCAGAAAGCCACGGCUAACUAUGUG
rnacentral:rRNA from 1 species